rnacentral:rRNA from 1 species
GAUGAACGCUGGCGGCGUGCCUAAUACAUGCAAGUCGAGCGAACAGACGAGGAGCUUGCUCCUCUGACGUUAGCGGCGGACGGGUGAGUAACACGUGGAUAACCUACCUAUAAGACUGGGAUAACUUCGGGAAACCGGAGCUAAUACCGGAUAAUAUAUCGAACCGCAUGGUUCAAUAGUUAAAGACGGUUUGGCUGUCACUUAUAGAUGGAUCCGCGUCGCAUUAGCUAGUUGGUAAGGUAACGGCUUACCAAGGCAACGAUGCGUAGCCGACCUGAGAGGGUGAUCGGCCACACUGGAACUGAGACACGGUCCAGACUCCUACGGGAGGCAGCAGUAGGGAAUCUUCCGCAAUGGGCGAAAGCUUGACGGAGCAACGCCGCGUGAGUGAUGAAGGUCUUCGGAUCGUAAAACUCUGUUAUUAGGGAAGAACAAAUGUGUAAGUAACUAUGCACGUCUUGACGGUACCUAAUCAGAAAGCCACGGCUAACUACGUG